GAUGAACGCUGGCGGCGUGCUUAACACAUGCAAGUCGAACGGAACUACUCUGAUGAGAUUCUUCGGAAAGGAUUUGGUUUAGUUUAGUGGCGGACGGGUGAGUAACGCGUGGGUAACCUGCCUCAUACAGGGGGAUAACAGUUGGAAACGACUGUUAAUACCGCAUAAGCGCACGGAACCGCAUGGUUUUGUGUGAAAAAACUCCGGUGGUAUGAGAUGGACCCGCGUCUGAUUAGCUGGUUGGUGAGGUAACGGCCCACCAAGGCGACGAUCAGUAGCCGGCCUGAGAGGGUGAACGGCCACAUUGGGACUGAGACACGGCCCAAAUCCUACGGGAGCAGCAGUGGGAAUAUUGCACAAAUGGGGGGAAAACCCCUGAUGCAGCGACGCCGCGUGAGUGAAG
rnacentral:rRNA from 1 species